UACAGAGGGUGCAAGCGUUAAUCGGAAUUACUGGGCGUAAAGUGUGCGCAGGCGGCCGCGCAAGUCGAGUGUGAAAGCCCCGGGCUUAACUUGGGAAUUGCGCUCGAAACUACGUGGCUGGAGUGUGGCAGAGGAAGGUGGAAUUCCAGGUGUAGCGGUGAAAUGCGUAGAGAUCUGGAGGAACACCGAUGGCGAAGGCAGCCUUCUGGGCCAACACUGACGCUCAUGCACGAAAGCGUGGGGAGCAAACAGG
rnacentral:rRNA from 1 species